rnacentral:rRNA from 1 species
UACGUAAGGUCCGAGCGUUGUCCGGAAUCAUUGGGCGUAAAGCGCGCGCAGGUGGUCUUUUAAGUCUGAUGUGAAAGCCCCCGGCUCAACCGGGGAGGGUCAUUGGAAACUGGAAGACUUGAGUGCGAGAGAGAAGAGUGGAAUUCCAUGUGUAGCGGUGAAAUGCGUAGAGAUAUGGAGGAACACCAGUGGCGAAGGCGACUUUCUGGUCUGCAACUGACGCUGAUGUGCGAAAGCGUGGGGAUCAAACAGG